rnacentral:rRNA from 1 species
AUUGAACGCUGGCGGCAGGCCUAACACAUGCAAGUCGAACGAGUGGCGGACGGGUGACUAAUGUCUUGGAAACUGCCCGAUGGAGGGGGAUAACUACUGGAAACGGUAGCUACUACCGCUUACCACCCGAUGUGCCCACAUGGGAUUGGCUAGUCGGUGAGGUAACGGCUCACUUAGGCGUCCAUCCAUACCUGGUCUGAGAGGGUUACCGGCCACACUGGAACUGAGAAACGGUCCAGAAUCCGACGGGAGGCAGCAGUGGGGAGUAUUGCACAAUGGGCGCAAGCCUGAUGCAGCCAUGCCGCGUGAAUGAAGAAGGCCUUCGGGUUGUAAAGUACUUUCAGCGAGGAAGCGUUACUCACAGAAGAAGCACCGGCUAACUCCGUGCCAGCAGCCGCGGUAAUAC